AGAAGAAGAAAUGGAGUCUCAGAUGCAGGGUGGCUUGUCACAGUCCACAGGAAAGAGGCUAGAUGCAAGGGCAGAGCCGGAGCCCUGAGAUGCACCGCCAACAGCCCUCCCCCUGCACUCCCCCUGUACACUUGGGGCUCAGGCUUGGAGCAGAAGUAAAUUAUCUCUUCCAACCCCCCAUCAGCAAACAGACACUUCCUCCUCCAGGGCUCACAGCCAAGUACCUCAAACCACAGUGACAUCACUGCCACCUGUGACAUCACUACACGCCACAGUGGAAAAAGACUGUGGGUCCCAGGGAGGUGGGCCCUGAGCGUCAGAGCCCCAGCCCCGCGGUCAGAGGCUCAGCAGAGGUGAUCAAGGCCCAAAGCCCUAAGGGAAGGGGGCAGGACUCAGAACCAGGGCAGAGCAGCCUGCACCCAUUACCGGUGACAAAGAGCUUCUUCGAGGAAAACGCCCUCCCUGCUCAAGGCUUCCUUGAACCUGCGUGUUCCCAGACAGCAGGCUCUGCAGUGCCUGCCUCCAGCGAGGACUUUCCCAUAGUGUGGGGAAGGGGAAAGGAUCUAGCUCUUGAACUUGAAAAGGUGCCACCUAGGUACCAAGGGGCAGAGAGGCAAACCCCAGCUCUGCCUAAGGAGCUCCACCACGUCCUUCAUGAAGGCUGACAGGCAGCCGUGAAUUCUCGAUGGCCCUGGGGCCUGAGUCAGGAAAUCAUUCCACCCAAAGCAAGUGAGAUUGAGGUCAGCAAGCAGAAGAGAAUCUGGGGAACCAAGAUAUUGACAGUGGGGAGUCCUGGGCUCUCCCUCCUGGGGACUUUUAGAUACCCCACCCCCAACCUGUGGCCUUUGUCAAGUAUACUCAAAGCUGACACUUCCCCAAUAUUCUACGAAAGCAUUGGAACCAGGGCUGUUAGGUUUCACAGGUAGGGAUGCUUAGCCCCAGAGAGGUUAAGUAACCCAAGCAAGGUAGCACAGCGAGCCAGUGACAGUGCUCAGAUGGGAACUGUGAUCUCCCAACACCCGGGUCAGUGCUCCUUCCUCGGAGCCAUGCUGCCUUAGAAGUCACUUGGAGGCGGAAAAUGGACAGCAUGACCUCAGAAGAGCCCCCACAGGGCAUCCCCUUCUCAGGGUCACAAGUAACCAGAACUUUCAGCAGCACAGAGGCUGGAGAUGAAGGAGGUUUGGGAGAGCGCCUGGAAUCUUCCCGUGCCCAUCUUGCAAGCUGAAGCCUUGUGCACUCUCUCUGUGCUUCACCAAAGAUAAGAACACAGAGGCUCCGAGGGAUAGAAAGACUUGUCAAGGUCACACAGCCAGUAAAACAGCAGAGCAAUGACUUGAGGUUUAUCUGAUUCAGAGGCCUGGGCUUUUUCCCAGAGUCAUCAGUGCUGCUUCCCUGUGCCCAGACGAGGGUCCAGAACUGGGAGCCACAGCACCUCUCCUUUGUUCCUGUUCACCCCAUGGCACCUCAAACCUCAGCUUCCCUCCUUGCCCACUUCUGGGUAAAUCACACGCAUUCUGGGGUCCUGAGUCACCGUCGACAGCCCAGGCCCUGCUCAUCCCCAUCAGAGGCACCAAGCACUCACCUACUGCCAGCUUUACUGCGAUCUCUUUGUCAAAUGAAUAAAUGACUAAGUGAAUGAA